AUACGUUUUGUUUCUGAAAACGCUAUUGUUAUCCAAAAUCUAAGCCCACUCCAUCUCUCACUCUAACGCUGUUUAUAGUCUUGUCUCUCAGCAAGAUAUUGUUAGGCUCCUGCACUGAAUCAUUCACACUUCAAACAACGCAGGAAGACACAGACGGAAACAUGAAUACAAACCAGCAUUUCAACAUGAAUCUUGAUACAGUGGAAAAUAGAGGGGCUGAAUCAUUUGGUGCAAUACUACAGGACCAGACAUUAGGGUUUUCUUCCCCAGCGGGUUUACCUAGGGCCACUGCUCCUCCCAAUUCUAUUGUAUCGAGGGGAGUGCAGGGGUUUUUGAAGACUUUUCUUGAUCACUAUCCUGUAUCUCAUAAGGUUAGUUGCAUUCUGUUUAUUCUUGCAUGUUUUCUUGCCAAAAAAGUCUAUAUGUGAAUUAUAUGCGCAGGAAACAAUAGAUCAUUAACAAUUGGAAGUACUUGGUUGGUGGCUUAACAGAAGAUAAGAGUGGUUGCAAAGGAGCUCUAGAAGGAAGAUGGUGUUAAAAGGGAGACAAAGACAUUUCUUGUCUAACAGAGCUAAAAGGGCAUUGGUGUACAUCUUGUCUUUGAUAUAACUUUGUACAGAAAUGUUGAAAGCUGUUUGAAGUGGAAAAAGUUGUGUUUAAUCAAGAACGAAAGUCGGAGGUUCGAAGACGAUCAGAUACCGUCAUAGUUCCGACCAUGAACGAUGCCGACUAGCAGUCCGGCGGCGUUAUUCCGAUGACCCGCCGAGCAGCUUCCGGGAAACCAAAGUCUUUGGGUUCCGGGGAGUAUGGUUGCAAAGCUGAAACUUAAAGGAAUUGACGGAAGGGCACCACCAGGAGUGGAGCCUGCGGCUUAAUUUGACUCAACAUGGGAAACCUCGCCCAGACACGGAAAGGAUUGACAGAUUGAUAGCUCUUUCUCGAUUCUGAGGGUGGUGGUGCAUGGCCGUUCUUAGUUGGUGGAGCGAUUUGUCUGGUUAACUCCGAUAACGAACAAUACUCCUCCAUGCUAACUAGUUACACGACCCCCAUCGGUCAGCGUUCAACUUCUUAGAGGGACAAGUGCCGUUCAGCCACACGAGAUCGAGCAAUAACAGGUCUGUGAUGCCCUUAGAUGUCCGGGCUGCACGCGCGCUACACUGAACGGAUCAGCGUGUGUCUACCCUUCGCCGACAGGUGCGGGUAACCCACUGAACCCCAUUCGCGAUAGGGAUUGGGGAUUGCAAUUAUUUCCCAUGAAUGAGGAAGUCCCAGUAAGUACGGGUCAUAAGCUCGCGUUGAUUAAGUCUCUGCCCUUUGUACACACCGCCCGUCGCUACUACCGAUUGGAUGGUUUAGUGAGACCCUCGGCUCGGCCCCGCCGGCGUCGGCAACGGCCCUGGAGGAGCACCGAGAAGGGGAUCAAACUUGACUAUCUAGAGGAAGUAAAAGUCGUAACAAGGUUUCCGUAGGUGAACCUGCGGAAG
rnacentral:rRNA from 1 species